GCAUGGGUUUGGAUUUAUGGCAGACCACCAUCCCCCCAUUGGGCCUCUUAUAGUGUCCCAUGCCAUAGCAAAUCAUAGUCCCAAACCAUUGCCUGGCCUUGUCCGUUGGCUUCGGCACUGAAGCGGGUUGCCCAGUG